rfam:Triticum aestivum genome assembly, contig: Triticum_aestivum_CS42_TGACv1_scaffold_321583_4BL
CAAAUACUCCCUCCGUCCGGAAAUACUUGUCAUCAAAAUGGAUAAAAGGAAAUGUAUCUAGACGUAUUUUAGUUUUAGAUACAUCUCUUUUUAUCCAUUUUGAUGACAAGUAUUUUCGGACAGAGGGAGUAGAAA